CAAUGGCAUUGGUUCCAAGCACAGAGAAAACACACGCCCCUCUCUUGCUUCAACUAUGGCUCACCUCAGGACCUUUGCCGCAUUCCUGUGCGUGAUGAUGGCCUCGCUCGCGUUCGCCGCCCAAGGCGUGUUCGCUGCCAGAGCUGCCAGCGUGAAGCGAGAUAACUAUGGGGGUGGCUGGGGCGGCGGUUAUGGGGCACCGACGGGGCGACGCCCAGGUUAUCCUCCUUCAAAGUAGGCCGGAGGAGAUCGGUUCUUGGAUCACAGGAAUACAAAUAUGCCGAAGGAUGAAUAAGUUUGUUUGCCGAGCGUGUACUCGGUGUUGAUAUAAACAUCGUGAUGCAUGAUAACCGUGUAUCGUUAUGUUUCCAUUUUGAAUAAACACCCUGGAGUGGCAUUUGUGCUUCC